rnacentral:rRNA from 1 species
UACGGGGGGAGCAAGCGUUGUUCGGAUUCACUGGGUUUAAAGGGUGCGUAGGUUGGCAGGUAAGUCAGUGGUGAAAUCUCCGGGCUUAACCCGGAAACUGCCAUUGAUACUAUCAGUCUUGAAUACCGUGGAGGUAAGCGGAAUAUGUCAUGUAGCGGUGAAAUGCUUAGAUAUGACAUAGAACACCAAUUGCGAAGGCAGCUUACUGCCCGAAUAUUGACACUGAGGCACGAAAGCGUGGGGAUCAAACAGG